GACAGAGGGUGCGAACGUUGUUCGGAAUUACUGGGCGUAAAGCGCGUGUAGGCGGCUCGAUAAGCCGGAUGUGAAAGCCCUGGGCUCAACCUAGGAAGUGCAUUCGAAACUGCUGAGCUUGAGUUCUGGAGAGGAAGGCGGAAUUCUCGGUGUAGAGGUGAAAUUCGUAGAUAUCGAGAGGAACACCGGUGGCGAAGGCGGCCUUCUGGACAGCAACUGACGCUGAGACGCGAAAGCGUGGGGAGCAAACAGG
rnacentral:rRNA from 1 species